rnacentral:rRNA from 1 species
AUUGAACGCUGGCGGCAGGCCUAACACAUGCAAGUCGAGCGAGCGGCGGACGGGUGAGUAAUGUCUGGGAAACUGCCUGAUGGAGGGGGAUAACUAAUGGAAACGGUAGCUAAUACCGCAUACCAUCAGAUGUGCCCAGAUGGGAGUAGCUAGUAGGUGGGGUAACGGCGCACCUAGGCGACGAUCCCUCGAUGGUCUGAGAGGAUGACCAGCGACACUGGAAAGGAGACACGGACCAGAGUCCGACGGGAGCCAGCAGUGGGGAAUAUUGCACAAUGGGCGCAAGCCUGAUGCAGCCAUGCCGCGUGUGUGAAGAAGGCCUUCUGGUUGUAAAGCACUUUCAGCGGGGAGGCGUGACCCGCAGAAGAAGCACCGGCUAACUCCGUGCCCGCAGCCGCGGUAAUAC